AGAUUGAACGCUGGCGGCAUGCCUUACACAUGCAAGUCGAACGGCAGCACGGGGGCAACCCUGGUGGCGAGUGGCGAACGGGUGAGUAACAUAUCGGAACGUGCCCUGGAGUGGGGGAUAACUAGUCGAAAGACUAGCUAAUACCGCAUACGAUCUACGGAUGAAAGUGGGGAUCGCAAGACCUCAUGCUCGUGGAGCGGCCGAUAUCUGAUUAGCUAGUUGGUGGGUAAAGGCCUACCAAGGCAUCGAUCAGUAGCUGGUCUGAGAGGACGACCAGGCCACACUGGGACUGAGACACGGCCCAGACUCCUACGGGAGGCAGCAGUGGGGAAUUUUGGACAAGUGGGCGCGAAGCUGAUCCGAGCAAUGCGCGUGAGUGAAGAAGGUCCGUUCGGGUUAGUAACGU
rnacentral:rRNA from 1 species